AAUGAACGCUGGCGGCAUGCCUAACACAUGCAAGUCGAACGAGACCUCCGGGUCUUGUCGCGUCUGGGUGUGUAACGCGUGGGAACCUGCCCUUAGGUUCGGAAUACCUCUCCGACUGGGGUGCCAUCACGGGACAAUGUCUUCUGCCCAAUGAUUUAUCGCCUUGGGAUGGGCCAGCGUUGGAUUAGCUCGUUGGUAGGGUAAAAGCCUACUACGGCGCCGAUCCAUAGCUGGUUAGUGAGGAUGCUCAGCAACACUGGGACUCGGACGCGGCCCGGACUCCUACGGGAGGCAGCAGUGGCGAAUAUUGGACAGUGGGCGGAAGCCUGAUCCAGCAAUGCCGCGUGAGUGAUGAAGGCCUUAGGGUUGUAAAGCUCUUUUACCCGGGAUGAUAAUGACAGUACCGAGAGAAUAAGCUCCGGCUAACUCCGUG
rnacentral:rRNA from 1 species